rnacentral:rRNA from 1 species
UACGUAGGGUGCAAGCGUUAAUCGGAAUUACUGGGCGUAAAGCGUGCGCAGGCGGCUUUGCAAGACAGAUGUGAAAUCCCCGGGCUUAACCUGGGAACUGCAUUUGUGACUGCAUGGCUGGAGUGCGGCAGAGGGGGAUGGAAUUCCACGUGUAGCAGUGAAAUGCGUAGAGAUGUGGAGGAACACCGAUGGCGAAGGCAGCCCCCUGGGAUAACACUGACGCUCGGGCACGAAAGCGUGGGGAGCAAACAGG